rnacentral:rRNA from 1 species
CCUACGGGAGGCAGCAGUGGGGAAUUUUGGACAAUGGGCGAAAGCCUGAUCCAGCAAUGCCGCGUGCAGGAAGAAGGCCUUCGGGUUGUAAACUGCUUUUGUACGGAACGAAACGGUCUGCUUUAAUACAGUGGGCUAAUGACGGUACCGUAAGAAUAAGCACCGGCUAACUACGUGCCAGCAGCCGCGGUAAUACGUAGGGUGCGAGCGUUAAUCGGAAUUACUGGGCGUAAAGCGUGCGCAGGCGGUUAUAUAAGACAGUUGUGAAAUCCCCGGGCUCAACCUGGGAAUUGCAUCUGUGACUGUAUAGCUAGAGUACGGUAGAGGGGGGAUGGAAUUCCGCGUGUAGCAGUGAAAUGCGUAGAUAUGCGGAGGAACACCGAUGGCGAAGGCAAUCCCCUGGACCUGUACUGACGCUCAUGCACGAAAGCGUGGGGAGCAAACAGGAUUAGAUACCCUGGUAGUCCACGCCCUAAACGAUGUCAACUGGUUGUUGGGUGCAUUAGUACUCAGUAACGAAGCUAACGCGUGAAGUUGACCGCCUGGGGAGGUACGGCCGCGAGUAGUAACGUAAAGAAGUAGAGCGUGAGAGAGCGACGACGACGACGAGGGAGGAGG